UACGUAUGUCGCAAGCGUUAUCCGGAUUUAUUGGGCGUAAAGCGCGUCUAGGGGGUUUAGUAAGUCUGAUGUGAAAAUGCGGGGCUCAACCCGGAAUUGCGGUGGAAACUGCUAAACUAGAGUACUGGAGGGGUAGGCGGAACUACAAGUGUAGAGGUGAAAUUCGUAGAUAUUUGUAGGAAUACCGAUGGGGAAGGCAGCCUACUGGACAGAUACUGACGCUAAGGCGCGAAAGCGUGGGUAGCAAACAGG
rnacentral:rRNA from 1 species